ACUUUGUUCCACAAGGCUCCUCUGCUCACGGCUGCGUGGAUAAAACCCAAAGGGAAUCCAGAAUCAAGCUCGGCCUCGCAGGAGUUUAUAACUUUUGUACUUUUCCCUCCCUUGUAACGAAAAGCUAAUCGCAAACGUUUCUAGGAACACAUUUUUCUCCUGAUAGACGUUCCCAAGGUGGAGGGCGCGAGAAGACUGGCCCGUGGGGUGAGGAGCCCCGGCCCGACCUCAGCGGCGCCACAAAGCCAUGAAGAGGGGAAAUAAUUUUCCAAGGGGCUAAGAGUUGGACUUUCUGAAGCCAUCGAAACCUGCUGCUAGGCUCUCCCGCUGGGGUUUUGAGAGAGGUAAAGAAAUUGAGUUCCAGAAGAGUAAUUGACACAAUUGCCCCAUGUCACACAACACGGUGGUAUUGAAAGAGACAAGAAGGAAAGUUUCCUAACUUCAAACUUUGUGCUUUCUCCACUAUCCCGUGAGAGAAUUUGGACUGGCUACAAGCAAGGGGCACAGGGAGAGCUCUCCCUGAAGUUCUGACUGAGGGAAUUCCUUCCAAAA
ensembl:lncRNA BTG3-AS1 BTG3 antisense RNA 1